rnacentral:rRNA from 1 species
UACGUAGGGGGCAAGCGUUGUCCGGAUUUAUUGGGCGUAAAGAGCGUGUAGGCGGUUUGGUAGGUCCGCUGUGAAAACUCGAGGCUCAACCUCGAGACGCCGGUGGAAACCAUCAGACUAGAGUCCGGAAGAGGAGAGUGGAAUUCCUGGUGUAGUGGUGAAAUGCGCAGAUAUCAGGAAGAACACCCGUGGCUAAGGCGGCUCUCUAGUACGGUACUGACGCUGAGACGCGAAAGCGUGGGGAGCGAACAGG